rnacentral:rRNA from 1 species
CACUUUCAGUCGUGAGGAAGGUAGUGUAGUUAAUAGCUGCAUUAUUUGACGUUUAGCGACAGAAGAAGCACUGGCUAAACUCCGUGCCAGCAGCCGCGGUAAUACGGAGGGUGCGAGCGUUAAUCGGAAUUACUGGGCGUAAAGCGCAUGCAGGUGGUUUGUUAAGUCAGAUGUGAAAGACCCGGGGCGUCAACCUCGGAAUAGCAUUUGAAACUGGCAGACUAGAGUACUGUAGAGGGGGGUAGGAAGUUUCAGGUGUAGCGGUGAAAUGCGUAGAGAUCUGAAGGAAUACCGGUGGCGAAGGCGGCCCCCUCGGACAGAUACUGACACUCAGAUGCGAAAGCGUGGGGAGCAAACAGGAUUAGAUACCCCUGGUAG